rnacentral:rRNA from 1 species
AUUGAACGCUGGCGGCAGGCCUAACACAUGCAAGUCGAGCGGAUGAAGGGAGUUUGCUCCUGGAUUCAGCGGCGGACGGGUGAGUAAUGCCUAGGAAUCUGCCUGGUAGUGGGGGAUAACGUCCGGAAACGGGCGCUAAUACCGCAUACGUCCUGAGGGAGAAAGUGGGGGAUCUUCGGACCUCACGCUAUCAGAUGAGCCUAGGUCGGAUUAGCUAGUUGGUGGGGUAAAGGCCUACCAAGGCGACGAUCCGUAACUGGUCUGAGAGGAUGAUCAGCCACACUGGAACUGAGACACGGUCCAGACUCCUACGGGAGGCAGCAGUGGGGAAUAUUGGACAAUGGGCGAAAGCCUGAUCCAGCCAUGCCGCGUGUGUGAAGAAGGUCUUCGGAUUGUAAAGCACUUUAAGUUGGGAGGAAGGGCAGUAAGUUAAUACCUUGCUGUUUUGACGUUACCAACAGAAUAAGCACCGGCUAACUUCGUG